GUGGGUGUAGCGCAGUCUGGUAGCGCGCUUGCUUUGGGAGCAAGAUGUCGGGGGUUCGAAUCCCUCCGCCCGCACCA
rnacentral:tRNA from 3 species